rnacentral:rRNA from 1 species
AGAGUUUGAUCCUGGCUCAGAUUGAACGCUAGCGGGAUGCUUUACACAUGCAAGUCGAACGGCAGCAUAAGAGAGCUUGCUCUCUUGAUGGCGAGUGGCGGACGGGUGAGUAAUGUAUCGGAACGUGCCCAGUAGUGGGGGAUAACUACGCGAAAGCGUAGCUAAUACCGCAUAUUCUCUACGGAGGAAAGGGGGGGAUCAUUUGACCUCUCGCUAUUGGAGCGGCCGAUAUCAGAUUAGCUUGUUGGUGGGGUAACGGCCUACCAAGGCAGUGAUCUGUAGCUGGUUUGAGAGGACGACCAGCCACACUGGGACUGAGACACGGCCCAGACUCCUACGGGAGGCAGCAGUGGGGAAUUUUCGACAAUGGGGGGAACCCUGAUCGAGCCAUCCCGCGUGUGGGACGAAGGCCUUCGGGUUGUAAACCACUUUUCUCAACGAAGAAAAGUCUUAGGCUAAUACCUUAAGAUGCUGACGGUAGUUGAGGAAUAAGCACCGGCUAACUAUGUGCCAGCAGCCGCGGUAAUACAUAGGGUGCAAGCGUUAAUCGGAAUUACUGGGCGUAAAGGGUGCGCAGGCGGCUUGGAAAGAACGGUGUGAAAUCCCGGGGCUCAACCUCGGAACUGCACUAUUAACUAUCAAGCUAGAGUAUGUCAGAGGGGGGUGGAAUUCCGCGUGUAGCAGUGAAAUGCGUAGAUAUGCGGAGGAACACCAAUGGCGAAGGCAGCCCCCUGGGAUAAUACUGACGCUCAGGCACGAAAGCGUGGGUAGCAAACAGGAUUAGAUACCCUGGUAGUCCACGCCCUAAACGAUGUCAACUAGCUGUUGGGCCGGUUACGGCUUAGUAGCGCAGCUAACGCGUGAAGUUGACCGCCUGGGGACUACGGUCGCAAGACUAAAACUCAAAUGAAUUGACGGGGGCCCGCACAAGCGGUGGAGCAUGUGGUUUAAUUUGAUGCAAUGUGAAGAACCUUACCUAGCCCUGACGUAUCGUGACUG